CUACGGGAGGCAGCAGUGGGGAAUAUUGCACAAUGGGCGAAAGCCUGAUGCAGCGACGCCGCGUGCGGGGUGACGGCCUUCGGGUUGUAAACCGCUUUCAGCAGGGAAGAAGCGCAAGUGACGGUACCUGCAGAAGAAGCACCGGCUAACUACGUGCCAGCAGCCGCGGUAAUACGUAGGGUGCGAGCGUUGUCCGGAAUUAUUGGGCGUAAAGAGCUUGUAGGCGGUUUGCCGCGUCUGCUGUGAAAAUCCGGGGCUCAACCCCGGACUUGCAGUGGGUACGGGCAAACUAGAGUGUGGUAGGGGAGACUGGAAUUCCUGGUGUAGCGGUGAAAUGCGCAGAUAUCAGGAGGAACACCGGUGGCGAAGGCGGGUCUCUGGGCAGUAACUGACGCUGAGGAGCGAAAGCGUGGGGAGCGAACAGGAUUAGAUACCCUAGUAGUCC
rnacentral:rRNA from 1 species